GCCGACCUUGGUAGCACAAAUUUGUAACUCAAGCGAGGGCACUAAGGUGGUUGAAUGUUGGCCCGAUUCCGACAGGCAGGAGCAGUCGGAGCUAAUUUGAUGGUACGCCCAUUCCAUGUAGGGAGUUGAACCAUGUGGCUUGAGAGAAAGCUUGGUCAUGUGGCUCUUAGAGUUGGAGGGCACCGCGUCAGGCUGGCUUCACAAAGCAGCAAAAACCUCCUGCUCCCAUCAGUGGAAAGGAUAACGAGUCGGCGCUCUGCUGCCCCAACAAUUGCCCUAAGAGUCGAGCCCAAUGGACAACCACCUUU
rnacentral:SRP_RNA from 1 species